UACGAAGGGGGCUAGCGUUGCUCGGAAUUACUGGGCGUAAAGGGAGCGUAGGCGGAUAGUUAAGUCAGAGGUGAAGGCCCAGGGCUCAACCUUGGAAUUGCCUUUGAUACUGGCUAUCUUGAGUAUGGGAGAGGUAAGCGGAACUCCGAGUGUAGAGGUGAAAUUCGUAGAUAUUCGGAAGAACACCAGUGGCGAAGGCGGCUUACUGGCCCAUUACUGACGCUGAGGCUCGAAAGCGUGGGGAGCAACAGG
rnacentral:rRNA from 1 species